rnacentral:rRNA from 1 species
AGGACGAACGCUGGCGGCGUGCUUAACACAUGCAAGUCGAGCGGAAAGGCCCUUCGGGGUACUCGAGCGGCGAACGGGUGAGUAACACGUGAGCAACCUGCCCCUGGCUCUGGGAUAGCCUCCGGAAACGGGGAUUAAUACCGGACAUUCACUGAUCCCUGCAUGGGGGAUGGUGGAAAGUUUUUCGGCCAGGGAGGGGCUCGCGGCCUAUCAGCUUGUUGGCGGGGUAACGGCCCACCAAGGCGACGACGGGUA